rnacentral:rRNA from 1 species
UGCGAGUCGAGCGCGCCCUUCGGGGUGAGCGGCGGACGGGUUAGUAACGCGUGGGAAUGUACCCUUUACUAAGGAAUAGCCACUGGAAACGGUGAGUAAUACCUUAUACGCCCUUCGGGGGAAAGAUUUAUCGGUAAAGGAUCAGCCCGCGUAAGGUUAGAUAGUUGGUGGGGUAAUGGCCUACCAAGUCUACGAUCUUUAGCUGGUUUUAGAGGAUGAUCAGCAACACUGGGACUGAGACACGGCCCAGACUCCUACGGGAGGCAGCAGUGGGGAAUCUUAGACAAUGGGCGCAAGCCUGAUCUAGCCAUGCCGCGUGAGUGAUGAAGGUCUUAGGAUCGUAAAGCUCUUUCGCCAGGGAUGAUAAUGACAGUACCUGGUAAAGAAGCCCCGGCUAACUCCGUGCCAGCAGCCGCGGUAAUACGGAGGGGGUUAGCGUUGUUCGGAAUUACUGGGCGUAAAGCGUGCGUAGGCGGAUUAGAAAGUAUGGGGUGAAAUCCCAGGGCUCACCCCUGGAACUGCCUCAUAACUACUAGUCUAGAGUUCGAGAGAGUGAGUGGAACUCCGAGUGUAGAGGUGAAAUUCGUAGAUAUUCCGAAGAACACCAGUGGCGAAGGCGGCUCA